GGGCAGGCAACACCCACCCAAAUUUCUGCUCAACCCACCCAAUUGGGUUCUGCAUUGCAGUAUAGACCAUUGUGGGGAAAGGUGCCCAUCCAAAUUUUCUAAUUGGCCCCCCAAUCUGAGCAGUGUUGAUCUGGGCCUGAGCACGUGGGGGACAGGUAGCUGCCUGGAUAGAGGGUAAUUCAGUGAUGUCACUCCCAGAAGUCUUCAGAUGAGGAGGGGCUACAGUGGUACAGUACGUUAAUAUCAUGCUGGUUCCGUACCUGGCAGUGUCCUGGAGAGGAGGACGUUCUAGAACAUUCUACUCCUAUCGAACAGAGAGGUCCGGGAUAGGAAGACCGCGAUCCUUCAGAGUGCCUUAGUACUCGGUGCCGUCUGUCGGGCGGAGGGAGAGCGGCUCAGGAACACGAGCCCACAUGGAGAGAGCGCCCCCAGCACCAUCACAGGGAGGAAGGCGCCCUCCAGCCUGGAGGCUGAACACGCUCUCCUCUGCCAGGAACUGCCUGCAUACUCUCGCCACAUGAGGCCGGGCAUUGUCGUGCACCAGGAGGAGCCUAGGACCCACUGCACCAGCAAAGGGUCUAACAGUGGGUCCAAAGAUUUCAUCCCGAUACCUGAUGGCAGGAAAGGUGCCGUUGUCUGCCCUGUAGAGGCCUGUGCGUCCCUCCAUGGAUAUGCCUCCCCAGACCGUCACUGACCCACAACCAAACCAGUCAAGCUGCAAGGCUCUGGCAGUGCUCAUGCUACCAGCAGCGAUAUUGACCAUAGCCACUGCGAAACCAGUGAAAAAACAAUCAAAAACAAUGUGGAGGGAAAAAUGUCAGUGGCCCCCACCUGUUAAAUCAUCCCUGUUUUGGGGGUCGUCUCAUUGUUGCCCCUCUAGUGCGCCUAUUGUUAAUUUCAUUAACACCAAAGCAGCUGAAACUGAUUAACAACCCCAUCUGCUACUUAACUCAAUAUCCCAGAAGUUUAAUUGACUAUACUCUGAUUAAAAAGUGUUUCUUAAA